ACGUGUCCGCACGGGAGCCCGAGGCACGGGCUGAGAGGGAGCUGCCGCUCCGACCGUGGAACCUGAUCCGGGUCAUGCCGGCGCAGGGAGCGUGAUCCCAUGACGA
rfam:Amycolatopsis mediterranei S699, complete genome.